UAAAAAAUGAGAAGUCAGAGUAAGAAGAUGCGGGGAGGGGAGGAAGAAGUACAAGGUAGUAGGUGAUUGGUGAAAUAAGAAGUGGGAGGGGUUAAGUAAAGAGCUGGGAAGUAAAUUGAUGAAAGAGAUAAAGGGCAGGAGAAGGGGGAAUCUGACAGGAGAACACAAAAGGCAAUGGAAGAAAGGGAAGGGGGUGCAGCACCAGAAGGAGAUGAUGGGCAGGAAAAGAGAAAAGAAUGAAAGCAGAGUUUUCACCUGCAACAGACUGAUAAAAACAGAGGACAAGAUGAUAUAUUUCUUCACGAUUUAUGCUAGGUUUCUAUGGAUCCUGUGUAUGGACUUGAAGACUUUAGGACCAGGUUAAAAGUUUUCAGAGUUAGUAGCCUGAGAUUUCCAGGAAUCAGUGGGCAUGUUGUAUUUUAUCAAUGGGUGUCUGAGCAUAUUCUUCAAUCACACCCCCUCUUAAUCUAACAGGGCUCAGAAUACAAAGCUUGUUUUGGGAGUCUGGUGUUGGGGUUGCAAACAUGACCUGGCCUAUGGAACCUACUAAGUGUAAUGAAUAUCUUAAUGCUAGAGAUGUUGGUCUGAGAAAGGAAACUAACAUUGGUUCCCCUAUCCUUACAGUGAAAUUGAAGUACUCUGCAGAGACAGCAAUGGCAAUGGCUUUCCCCUUCCUCAAGGUGCCUAUUUUGGUCAGUUCAGGAUUCUAUAAGUGUAGAAAGCAGAAAUUUUUGCCUGAUUUGAGAUAUUUUGUUCAGUUAUUUAGAGAUGCAGUGCAGAACGGGCCCUUCUGGCCCAACAAGCCACACCACACAGCAACCCACCAUUUAACCCUAGCCUAAUCACAGGAUUACAAUGACCAAUUAACCUACUAACCAGUAUAUUUUUGGAUUGUGGGAGGAAACUGGAGCACCCGGAAGAAACCCACAUGAUCACAUGAAGAACAUACAAAUUCCUUACAGAGCGCAUUGGAAUUGAACUCCAAACUCCAACAGUCCAAGCUGUACUAGCAUUGUGCUGACCGCACACAACAGUGGCACCCCGAUGAUGUUGAUCAUUAACCACAAUUUUUCUCAAUCAAUCAAAAAUUGUGCUGGAAUACUAAAGGCAAAAUAGGGCCAAGGUAUGAUUAAUCCUACAGUAUUAUUGAGGAAGGUUUAUUUACAAAACAUUUUAAUUGGUUUCCCUUUCCACAAAUGCUGACUGACGGACUGAAUUCUUUAGCAUUCUGUUUUUGGCAAUGCAUGAUAUUAUGCAAUUCCCUAACAACAUAUAUGGGACAGAUAAAGUGCAACAGAGGUUAGGUAAAUUGAUUUCUGGGAUGGGGUGGGAUGAGAGCUGACAUAUGGAAACUUACAGAAAGCUUACAAGGUCCCUUUGGGUAAAUGCAGGGAUGAUGAUAAGAGGCCUAGAUCGAGUGAAAAGCCAACAAUUUAUUCCCAGAGUGGAAAAGGCUAAUCUGAGGGGCAUAAUUUUAAGGUGAUUAGAAGAAAGUGUAGACGGAUGUUAAAGGUAAGAUUUUUAUAGAGAGUAGUGUGAAUACGUGGAAUUCACUGCUAGGGGUGGUGGUAGAGGCAGAUACAUUAGUGACAUUGAAGAAACUCUUAGAUAGGUACAUGGAUGAAAGAAAAAUGGAAGGAAGUGUUAGAUAGAUCCUAGAGUAGAUUAAAAGGUUGGCAGAAUAUCAUGGCCAAAGGGUCUGUACAGUGCUGCAAUGUUCUAUCUUUACCUGGGUUGGAAUGUUUAGAAUGCAGGGUCAUAGUCUUAGUAAGAAAUCCACCAUUGAGGACAGAAUUAAAAGACUAAGUAGUGAAACUCAGUUGUUUUCUACUUAAGACAGCAGUAGAGUUCAUUUCACUGAGUAAAGCAAAAAUAAAAAGGGUUUUUUUUUGGAUAGUAAGUGAAUCAUGGAAAAGGAAUUAGUAAAGUGUUUCUGAGGUAAAAGCUCAGCCAUGAUCUUAUUAAAUGAAGUAACAAGGGUAAGGGGUCAAAUGGCCCAUUCCAACCUCUAUAUUUUAAUGUCGUAGCUGAGUUGAGAUUGAACUUAACAUGAGGUCAACGUUUGACCCAGUGUGACAUCAAAUAGUCAAGGUAAGAUUGAAGUCAAUGGCCACAGACAUUGGAUUUACACCCUGCACAAGGUGUGGUUCAUAAUCAAUCAGCUCAGUUAUAUCACUUCAGUCAGAACAGCAUGCUGCCCAUCAGUGAGUUUCUUGUUGGCAGAGCAACUGAAGGAGCUGGACUUGGUCUGGAUCAUGCUGCUGUCUGUGUAAGAGAGGCAAUGGAGGAGUCGGUGCGCAAAGGUGCUGUGCAGUCUAACAAGAAGUGAUCAUCUUAGUUGUUUUUCUUGUGAUCACAAGACCCUGUUGUGGACCUUAACGUGGAAUGCUUUAAGUUUGAUUCACUGAUUUAUUGGCAGAUGGUGGAGGAGCUAUGUGGCCUCGGUUGAAGCAAGGUUUAGACCUCAAGCCACGGUGUCGUCUGUUUACAGCUGCCCAGGAAAGAGGCAUUGGAGUCAAUGCACUCCUCCAGAAUGUCAGGAGUGGUGUGGCAUGGUGCCUAAGCUGCAGUUGGUGCGGCCGCCCCAUUGUUCACUUGACAGAAGACAGGCUGUAUUGUGUUCGACUGCAGACUGCUGCAAUAUUCAUAGGCUCCUGAACUAUAUUUUAUUGACAUCUUAUAUGUGUUUGCUAUCUUGUAUGUGUUUGCUGAUUUAUAUGUGCUAUAUAUGCCUUGUACAGGGUAUGGCUGUUGCUACUGAGUUUUGCACCUUGGCCCCAGAGUAAUACUGUUUCAUUUGGCUGUAUUCAUGAAUGGUUGAAUGACAAUUAAACUUGAUCUUAAAUCACCCUAAUCUACUUCAGCAAUGACCUUUCUUCCAUCUCAUGGUCAAAAGUGGGGAUGUUCCCUAAUGAUUGCACAAUAUGUAAUGCAAUUUGCAGCACUUUAUGAAAAGGAGUUGCACGCUGCAAGAACUUAUGUUGAAGGGUCUUGGCUGAAACAUCAACAGUUUAUUCCUCUCCACUGAUGUCACCUGACCUGCUGAGUUCCUCAAGCAUUUUGUGUGUGCUGCAUGUUGCAAGACUGCAUAAAACUCAAACACAAGGAAGUGUAAUCAAUAUUCACACCAGACAAAUGCCAGGCAAUGACCAUCUCCAACAAGAAAGAUUCCACUAAUCUAUCCAUUGAGCACCAAUCAAUCUAUUGGGAACAACUUCCAAAAGUGGUGCCUAAUGAAGAAUACAUCCAUCAUUAAGGACCUUCACCAUCCAAGGCAUUCCCACUUCUCAUUAAUACCAACAGGAGCCUGGUGGACACAUUCUCAUUACUUUAUGAACAGCUUCUUCUCCUCCACCAUCAGAAUUCUGAACAGUCUAUGAACCCAUGAACAAUAGCUCACUAUUCCCAUUUUGCACUUACUUUUAAUUGGAACUUUUGCAGCAAUAGGGUGAGGUUGUAAAUCAAUGUGCUAAACUGUAGAGAAUGUAUCAAAAAUAUCUUUCCAAAAUUUUUCCAAAAGAGGGCAAGACCAAAACAUAUGAGUCAGACAGGCUCCUCAGAAUGACAUCUAUCACAAAUUGGAUUUAUACGAGAGUAAAAACCAGCUAAUUUAUCUUUAGGCAUAUGAGCCCUAUGUACCACUUUCAAUUGAAUCAGCGUAUGUUUAGCACAAAUAGAAGAAAAAUUAACUAAUUGAAAAAUUUUCUCCCAUUUCUCUAUAAGUAAAGAAAGUUUAAGUUGCUUUUCCCAUUCAUUUUAAAUUUUAUCGGAUAUAUCUGGCUGUAUAUUCAUAAUCAUAUCAUAAAUGAUUGCUAUUAAACCCUUUUGAUAAGGGUUUAAGCCUAAAAAUUUUUCCACGAUAUCAGCUGGAUAUGAAAUUGGAAAAGUAGGUAACAUCGUAUUUAAAAAAUCGCUGAUCUACAAGUAUCUAAAAAAAUGGGAUCUGGGCAAAUUAUAUUUAUUAGACAACUGUUCAAAAGACAUGAAACAGAUUUUAUUAUUGGGCAAUUAAUAUUCGAUAGUUAAUAUUUUGGACACAAGAUGUGGAUAUUAAUGUCAGUGCACAAUGGGUUAAUCUUGAAUGUAAUUCUGCACAAGGAUUUUCUGUGACUUCCAUC